rnacentral:lncRNA from 1 species
AACUGUAUGAUAGUAUUCCAUCUGUGAAUCUGUGAUCUGUCUAAAAAUUUUGAUUCAUUUUUUGUGCAAUUUACUAGAAUUAGAUAGUUAUAAUUAAUAAUUUAAUAUGAAGGAUGCUCAUUUCAUCUAUUAUGCUGCACAUAGGAGCAGGGGCGGACCCAGACCAUCUGAACUGUGGGGUCAAAAUUUUUUUUUUCGAACAGCGUAUCAUGAAAAAGAAAGAAAAAUCGUUUGUUUGUUGUUCAUGUUCGAUAUGUGCACUUUGGGAAGAAAUCGUUGGAUUAUAUGAUAUAUUUAUGGACUAAAUAAUGGAUACGUAAAGCAAAGAGACACACACUACACACAAUCACAGAGAACCAAUGUUAAAAAUCAUAACUUUUUGAUAAAAGAGAAAACACACCCAAAAUUGAAGUAAAAGAAUAUGAUUUUCCAGUAAGAUUGAUGAAACCCAGUUCCUUCUUUAUCUUCCCCUUCAGUACAAUCUUUCUCAGCCGCCACAGAGAUUUUUAACGCUCUGCGAAGAACCAAUAUGAUUACACUGUAAUCAAUGUAGAAGAAACCCCAAUUUCCUCCAUAAUAAAAAUUCAAUGCUCCAAAAAGGUAACGAAUCUUGAAACAAUUUACCCAAAAAUUUAACCGAAAAACAAAAAAGAACAGAAAUUAAUAACAGUAAAAAUGUAAACAAAUGCAUUUGACUCACAGUAUGAAAGUUAAGUUUUCAGCACAAAAAAAAAAAAAAAAAAAAAAAAAAAAAAAAAAAUACAAAAAAAGGGGGGGAGAUAGUUAUAAUUAAUAAUUUAAUAUGAAGGAUGCUCAUUUCAUCUAUUAUGCUGCACAUAGGAGAUUGGAGAGGAUGUGUUUUGCAACUUCUGUUGUGGACUGUCGAGCCGAGUCCGAGUCUGAGUCUGC